AGGUACUAUCUGUGACAAUAUGUUUUCAUGGUUUGGGAAUAAGACUUGGUGGUCUUGUACAGCUUAUACAUAGAUAAGCAUCACAGCUUGUCUUAGGAUUGAGGCUGGGAAUGGCCAUUGGAGCUGACUUUUUUGGUAACUGUGGCUGCAUAAAAUGAUUGUGUGAUAUAACUGUAACAGUAAAGAAUGUAAUUCAGACAAUUUUUGUGUAUUUUUGAGCAAUUAAUUGUUUAUAAUUUUUUACCAAAAGAAAAAAAAAAUAAACAUGUAAAGAUUCUCCAUUUUUAACAAGAUUGGAAGUUGUAGGUUAAUUUGUAUUUGACAUUUUAAAAUGCCUCUAUCUUUUUUCCAUUAUAACCCAUGGCUAUAUUCUGGUAUCUCUACUCAUGUCCAUUAUUGUCUUGACAAUUAUUGUGUCAUGCUUAUGGAUAAUGAACUGGUUUUUGGUAUGUAGUUUUGUAAAGAUGAGUUAAUAGUUCAGAUCGUACCAUUAUUAUUUUACCCUGUGACUAGACUAAAUUUGUCCUUUGAAAAUGAAGUAAAAUGGACCAAUUUUACAAUUUUACUUGUUGACCUACUAAAGACAUCUUAAUAAUGGUCCAUGUCUAGUCAAUACACUUCCAGUAGGUUAAGAAUGGAAAAUCUAAAAAAAAAAAAAAAAAAUGAAAAAAAGAGAAAUGAAGAAAGAGAAAAAAUGUUAUUUUUAUUGAAAUGUUUUUUUUUGAGUUUCCUGAAUGGUUUAGAUACAUAUUUUUUCAAACUUUUUGUUAUUUUUAGCUAAAAAGCUGGUGACCAUUUUUUUUUAUUGGUUUAAGUCAGAGUAACGAGAGAGAACCACCACAUUUAGGCAGGAAAGACAAUCUUAGUCGAUAAAAAUUUUAGUAGAACGCACCUUCCACAUGCUGGGUUUCAACUCUCUGCCAUCAAGGCCCGAAGGUGAAAAUUGAUGUAAUAGAAAUGUUAUUAAGAUGUGUUGUUUUUUGUCAUUAAAUUAUUUUUCAAUUUUAAUUAUAUUAUUUUUUGUAAUUUUGUUAAAUAUAGCAAUGAUGUGGAGUCCUAACAGGGUGAAAUUUAGGUCAAAGGGAGGAAUUUAUUAUCCCCCUGUUUAACUCCUCAUUCUUGAAUCUCCUUCUGUGUUAGCUUUUAUUUUACUUGGAUAUUUAUGUUUAUAUAAUAAAAAAUCAUAUCAGAUGUAUACUAGCUAAUAUUGACUAUUAUUUAGAGCUUUGUAAUGAAAAAAAAAUGUAAGCAGAGCUCUAAGUAAUAGAUAUGUGGGUUGGGAGAAAUCAAGGCUAACUAAAAAUUAUUUGUUGAAUUUUUUUAAAAAUUAGCUGAAAGUGCAUCUGAUUUUUUUAUAUAUAAUAUAUUUACCCUGGUAUAUCAUUAUUUCUAAA